AUGGCCGCGAUGAUGGGGAUUUCCGCUUUGCGCUCCCACCACCCGCUCCCCCUGUCGACCGCGCGCCCGGCCACGGCUCUCCCCCGCGCCACGUCGCCGACGUCGCACCAACCCAGGUCGCUCACGCUUCUACGAUGCCGAUGCCGAUGCCGACGCAGCCUCCCCCAUUCUUGCUGCAGCUCCUCUCCUCGUGCCUCGCUCUCACCGGGCGCCCCCGACUCGGCCGCUUUCAUGGCAUUGGCUCCCAACAAUGCCGCCCUUCGCCACCGCCUCAUCGCCCCCAACUCCACCGCCGGCUCCGGAGACGGCGCUGCCACCGGAGGCCUGCCCAGCGUUCUUGGCAUCGCGCACCUGGCGGUGUCGCUUGGCAUCGUGCUGGCGUCGGACAAGUACCUGAAGCAGGCGUUCGUGGCCGCGUCCAUCAAGUUUCCCAGCGCCCUCUUCGGCAUGUUCUGCAUCUUCUCCGUGCUCCUCGUCCUCGACACCGUCGCGCCGGCGCUGGCCAAGGGCUUCAUGGACUUCUUCGAGCCCGCCACGCUCUUCAUCCAGAGGUGGCUGCCGCUCUUCUACGUCCCCUCCCUCGUCGUCCUGCCCCUCGCCGUCAGGGACAUCCCGGCCGCCUCCGGCCUCAAGAUCUGCCUGAUCACACUCGGUGGCUGGUUCGCUUCGCUGGCGGUGGCGGGGUACACGGCGCUGACCGUGAGGAAGAUCGUCAAGACGGAGCUCAUCGCGGCCGAGCCGAUGGGCAAGCCGUCCGCCUUCGUGACGUUGGAGUUCUGGGCGUGGGGCGCCGUCUUCGUCGCCUCGUUCGCGACGGCGUUCGUGAACCCCACGGCGCUUGGCACCACGGCCAGGACGUGCCUCCCGUUCAUGCUCGCUUCCACUGUACUGGGAUACAUGGUUGGUUCUGGGUUACCGGCUGGUAUCAAGAAAUUGUUACACCCGAUCAUCUGCUGCGCGCUUUCUGCGAAUUUGUCGGCGGUCGCAUAUGGGUACCUCUCCGGGUCCGGAAUCGAUGCCGCGCUAGGUGAUUACCUGACAAAGGUGCCAUCGAAUCCUGGAGCUGGUGACGUCCUGAUGGGAUUUCUUGGGUCUGUCAUCUUAUCAUUUGCCUUCUCAAUGUUCAAGCAGAGAAAGCUUGUAAAGAGGCACGCGGCAGAAAUUUUCACGUCGAUCGCCAUUGCAUCGACAUUCUCCCUGUACUCCACAGCCAUCCUAGGACGGUUGAUUGGGCUGGAGCCAACGUUAACCAUCUCCAUAUUGCCAAGGUGUAUAACCGUGGCGUUGGCUCUGAGCAUAGUGUCUUUCUUUGAAGGUGCAAACACUUCUCUGACGGCUGCCGUGGUUGUUCUGACGGGCCUGAUCGGCGCCAACUUUGUGCAAGCGGCCAUGGAUAAGCUUGGCCUCAACGACCCCAUCGCCAGAGGGAUCGGAACAGCCUCCAGUGCUCAUGGGUUGGGAACCGCGGCGCUGUCGGCCAAGGAGCCUGAGGCGCUCCCUUUCUGCGCCAUCGCCUACGCGCUCACCGGCAUUUUUGGCUCCCUGAUCUGCUCCUCUCCGGCCGUCAGGCAAAGCCUGGUGUUCAUAGCCGGCUGA
rnacentral:rRNA from 1 species